rnacentral:rRNA from 1 species
GAUGAACGCUGGCGGCGUGCCUAAUACAUGCCAGUCGAGCGAACAGAUGAGGAGCUUGCUCCUCUGACGUUAGCGGCGGACGGGUGAGUAACACGUGGAUAACCUACCUAUAAGACUGGGAUAACUUCGAGAAACCGGAGCUAAUACCGGAUAAUAUAUUGAACCGCAUGGUUCAAUAGUGAAAGACGGUUUUGCUGUCACUUAUAGAUGGAUCCGCGCCGCAUUAGCUAGUUGGUAAGGUAACGGCUUACCAAGGCAACGAUGCGUAGCCGACCUGAGAGGGUGAUCGGCCACACUGGAACUGAGACACGGUCCAGACUCCUACGGGAGGCAGCAGUAGGGAAUCUUCCGCAAUGGGCGAAAGCCUGACGGAGCAACGCCGCGUGAGUGAUGAAGGUCUUCGGAUCGUAAAACUCUGUUAUUAGGGAAGAACAAAUGUGUAAGUAACUAUGCACGUCUUGACGGUACCUAAUCAGAAAGCCACGGCUAACUACGUG